rnacentral:rRNA from 1 species
UACAGAGGUCUCGAGCGUUAGGCGGAAUCACUGGGCUUAAAGCGUGUGUAGGCGGAUCGGUAAGUACCUUGUGAAAUCCCACAGCUUAACUGUGGAACUGCUUGGUAUACUGCCAGUCUUGAGCCAGCUAGGGGCUACCGGAACAAAUGGUGGAGCGGUGAAAUGCGUAGAUAUCAUUUGGAACGCCAAUGGUGAAAACAGGUGGCUGGGGCUGUGCUGACGCUGAGACACGAAAGCCAGGGGAGCAAACGGG